UACGUAGGGGGCUAGCGUUGUCCGGAUUUAUUGGGCGUAAAGAGCGUGUAGGCGGCCAGGUAGGUCUGCUGUGAAAACUCGAGGCUCAACCUCGAGACGCCGAUGGAAACCGUCUGGCUAGAGUCCGGAAGAGGAGAGUGGAAUUCCCGGUGUAGUGGUGAUAUGCGUAGAUAUCGGGAGGAACACCCGUGGCGAAGGCGGCCAUCUGGACCAGUACUGACGCUGAGGCACGAAAGCGUGGGGAGCAAACAGG
rnacentral:rRNA from 1 species